rnacentral:rRNA from 1 species
GAUUAACGCUGGCGGCGUGCCUAACACAUGCAAGUCGAGCGGCAGCGAGUUUUACACUUACUUCUGGAAGCUUCUAGUCGAAAGAGAAGAUUUAUUCAAGCAUUUUGUGUAAAAUGUCGUCGAGCGGCGGACGGCUGAGUAACGCGUGGGAACGUACCCCGAAGUGUGGGAUAGCGCAUCGAAAGGUGUGCUAAGACCGCAGAUGGGCUGCUGAUUAACGCCUUCGGGCGCUUUGGGAACGGCCUGCGUAAGAUUAGAUAGUUGGUGGGGUAAUGGCCUGCCAAGGAGAGGAUCUCUACCUGAUGUGGGAGCAUGCUCCGUCAGACUGGAACUGAGGCACGGUCUAGAAUCCUACGGGAGGCUGCAGUAAAGUAUAUACCAGAAUGAGCGAAAGCCUGAUGGAGCAACGCGGCGUGUAGGAUGCAGGCCUUUGGGUUGUAAAUUGCUUUUAUACGUGAGGAUUAUGACGGUAACUGAUGAAUAAGGACCGGCUAACUACGUG